UUCGUGAAACAAACGCAAAAUAUAAAUUUUAAUAAUACUUUGUAUUAAUUCAGUCUUAUGAUUAUUGAAAAUAUCUUGUUCCAUAACAUGUUCCGUCAUUUUAACCUCUUACAAACAAUAAAACGCGCUAACGCUGUGCGCCGUUUUGCUAAUUCGCGCUUGCGCAUUGCGGACAAAGGUAACAAUCUACCUUUCUCUUUCUUUAAAACGUGGUUCUCUCUCGCACCCAACUUGGACACAGUUUUGCGCUCCUAUUCCCCUUCCAGGUAUAUAUGUUCUAAGGUGCCGUCACAUGCGGCGUAAGAAGCGUACGCACGUACUGCUGCGUACUUUGCGUAUUCUAGUAAUAUGCUAGAACUUACGCCAUUUAAAAAAUACCUCUUUACAUGGAGCGUACUUUGUUAAAUUUCGCGUAAAGCGUAAUCUAAUCAAUAAAGAUUAGAAUUUCUGUUGUAGAACACAGCAGAAAUACUAAAAUCGAUUUUCUAUUGGUUAUUAUUAUUUAGGCGUAUUGCUAAAUAUGCGCCAUGUGAAUUAGAUACCUGGUAUUUAUCGUAAAAUGUGCGUAAUCAUAGCUUCAGGUUAAGUAUGUAAUGUUGAAGUAAAUGGAUAAAGUGCAGCGUGUAUAAAUAAAAAAGAGUCCACAGUGGAUCUCUGAUCCAACAAACAAAGCGGCUAUUUGGUCGUGCAGUGGCGUCCCAUUCCAGAGUACUAAUGAAAACGAGCAAAGGGGUUUUGUAAGAGCUAAGAUUGGAGACAUCCACUUCUACAACUGCUACGCAACACCCAGUGACGAUACCAGAGAGUUUGCUGACUUUCUCCACAGGCUGACCGAGGACGCCAGGAAGCACUCUCCCGUGAAAUGCCUUUUGCACAGUGUUAAAGGAGGCGGCCGAAGUUAUCUCGGGAUUUUUGCCAGUUGAGAUACUAACGCAAGAACGGAAACAGGUCUUCCAACAACGAAAAGCCUUAAACAGUGCAAGAGAAAGGCAAAAAGAAGAGCAGCUAAAAACGGAAGAACGAAAAAGGAGCCUAGAACGAUGGCAAAAGAACUGGGACGAGUUGACCAAGGGCAGAUGGGCGCACCGAUUAAUUCCCCAAGUGGAUAAGUGAACCGCAGCCAUGGUGAGGUUAGCUAUUACUUGACACAGAUGCUAUCAGGUCACGGGUGCUUCAGAGCAUCGACAUAUAGAAUGGACUGAGCAUUGCGAUAUGUAAACGCGCGCCUGCUUUAGAGUGAGAGGUACUACAUCUGAGGCCUAUGUUUGUCUCUCUUGCAAGCUUCUGAUUUGUUAUUUCGUCCCCCUCCAGAAUUCUAGCAGUAACAUAGCAUUAAAUUUUUGACACCUCACCUUCGCCUACUCGCUUUGGAAUAACGUGAAACGUUUAUCUUUAUCUUUAAAAAUUAAAAAAUGGUUUUAAGGUGUUUUGUGUGCAAAAUUACGUAU